rnacentral:rRNA from 1 species
GACGAACGCUGGCGGCGUGCCUAAUACAUGCAAGUUGAGCGAUGAAGAUUGGUGCUUGCACCAAUUUGAAGAGCAGCGAACGGGUGAGUAACGCGUGGGGAAUCUGCCUUUGAGCGGGGGACAACAUUUGGAAGCGAAUGCUAAUACCGCAUAACAACUUUAAACAUAAGUUUUAAGUUUGAAAGAUGCAAUUGCAUCACUCAAAGAUGAUCCCGCGUUGUAUUAGCUAGUUGGUGAGGUAAAGGCUCACCAAGGCGAUGAUACAUAGCCGACCUGAGAGGGUGAUCGGCCACAUUGGGACUGAGACACGGCCCAAACUCCUACGGGAGGCAGCAGUAGGGAAUCUUCGGCAAUGGACGAAAGUCUGACCGAGCAACGCCGCGUGAGUGAAGAAGGUUUUCGGAUCGUAAAACUCUGUUGGUAGAGAAGAACGUUGGUGAGAGUGGAAAGCUCAUCAAGUGACGGUAACUACCCAGAAAGGGACGGCUAACUACGU